AGGGUCCAGUAGGUCCUCCAGGUUUGCCUGGUCUUAAAGGAUUCCAAGGAAUAAAGGGAGACAAAGGAUAUCAAGGGUCACAAGGUUUAGCAGGUUUGGAUGGAAAACCGGGCCCACCAGGACAUCCGGGACCAGAUGGCUCUUCCGGGGAAAAAGGCGUGAAGG